UACGUAGGUGGCAAGCGUUGUCCGGAAUUAUUGGGCGUAAAGAGCUCGUAGGCGGCUUGUCGCGUCGGUUGUGAAAGCCCGGGGCUUAACCCUGGGUCUGCAGUCGAUACGGGCAGGCUAGAGUUCGGUAGGGGAGAUCGGAAUUCCUGGUGUAGCGGUGAAAUGCGCAGAUAUCAGGAGGAACACCGGUGGCGAAGGCGGAUCUCUGGGCCGAUACUGACGCUGAGGAGCGAAAGCGUGGGGAGCAAACAGG
rnacentral:rRNA from 1 species